CAAAUAAGAUAUAUAUCUGGUAACUAUGGAAGUACUUGAUGAUAUAUUCUCAACCAUGCUCGAAUUUCUUGAACAACAACUUUCUAUUCAGAAACAACAGCGUGAUGAUCAUCAAGAUUUUUUAGAAUUAGCCAUAACAAUCUUAACGGGAUUCUAAGGAAUGGGAUAUCAUUUCGUAAGCCAGGAACUAUAAAGUCAUGCUAGGUGGAUGUCAAAGACUCUUUACGUAUUCAAGAUUUAACUACUUUAGGGUCAAUUUCAGUUAUCUAAAAGGGAGAGGAAUUCUUUAAGAACAUCAUGUAUUUUUCUUGGACUCGAGUCUACAUUCGAACCUGCUUUCUCUCCCCAAAAGCCGUAAAAGCUCUCUAUCCAGAUUUUCUAUUCAUGGGUCACAUGAUCAAUUAUCAGGAUAUUGAUACAGAAAUCAGAAAGUUACUCUCAAAAAAAUUUUAAGCCAUGGCUUAAAUUUGGUUCACGAAACUAUGACUCUUUCCUUAUUAGAUGAUAUUAUUCCAACUAGGGUUAAGAGAAUUAUGACGCAAAUUAUGCUAGAAGCUGAUAAAUAUUUUGAAAUACCUGUUACAAAAUAUUUCUUUACCCGACAAUCAGCUCUGAUUUCUUUAACAAAGGCUUCAACUUGGAAGGAUGAUUUUAGAUAUUAUAUUAUUAAUGGAAAAACUUGACAAAACAAUUUUUGUGAAUGAUGCUGCAGAAAGAGGUGUAAAAUUGAUUCAGAAACACAAUAAUAUUUUCACAGAAGAUGAAAGAGAGGAAAAAAAAUUGCUUCACACAUCAUUGCUGAAGACCAUAAAAAUUGCACUUCUGAUACUAAAUCCUGACUUAAGAAAGAAUAAUGUUCAACAUUGGUUUAUUCUACUAUGUUUUGAUUCUAUAAAAAUUAUUAGUCCUAAUAAAAUGUAUUUAUUCUCUAGAAAUUGUUGUGAUGUUAAAGAAAAAUGCAGUUUAAUUUUUUUUUUUUUUACUAUAUUUCUAGGACUGACUGAACUACAAGGCAUUUGAGGUACCCCUAGAAAUUGUCCAAUUGAAGGGAAAUUUUGCACAGGCUGUUCUUUUGUCCAUUGGAACAAAAUAAGAGAUUUAUAGUUCUGCAAGAGAUUUUGAAUCUUUUGGCCAAGCUUAAAAAGACAGUAAAAAGCUGAAAAGAGAAGCGAAGUUGCUACAGGAAAAGUUGGAGAUGAAUGUGAUGUCCAUGAAAGCUCUCAAGUUGCAGCUGCAAUUGGCGAUAUUAAUGCUGCAGAACAUGAAUUUGUUUUGUGUCUGUCAAGCAUUAAUGGUUUGAUGCAGUUAAAAGUGAUGCAUUCCUAGUGUAAAAAUUAAGUACUUACAAGCAGAGACUAAUGCCAUUAGCCAUUAAGUCAGUAAAGUGCUAGAUGGUGUUGCUGAUUGGAACUUGCAUCUUUCUAGAAAAAUCGAAAAAGGAUACUAGACUUGCAAAUCCGAACAAGAAGAAAAUGUAUAAAUGUAAA